UGGGGAAUAUUGGACAAUGGGCGCAAGCCUGAUCCAGCAAUGCCGCGUGGGUGAAGACGGCCUGCGGGUUGUAAAGCCCUUUAGGCGGGGAGGAACGACGGGACGCUAAUAUCGUUUCGAAGUGACGUUACCCGCGGAAUAAGCACCGGCUAACUCCGUGCCAGCAGCCGCGGUAAUACGGAGGGUGCGAGCGUUAAUCGGAAUUACUGGGCGUAAAGCGUGCGUAGGCGGAUGGGUCAGUCAGCCGUGAAAGCCCCGGGCUUAACCUGGGAACGGCGGUUGAGACGGCUCGUCUGGAGUGGGCUAGAGGAUCGUGGAAUUCCGGGUGUAGCGGUGAAAUGCGUAGAGAUCCGGAGGAACACCGAUGGCGAAGGCAGCGGUCUGGGGCCACACUGACGCUGAGGCACGACGGCGUGGGGAGCAAACAGG
rnacentral:rRNA from 1 species